rnacentral:rRNA from 1 species
GACGAACGCUGGCGGCGUGCUUAACACAUGCAAGUCGAACGGAAAGGCCCUGCUUUUGUGGGGUGCUCGAGUGGCGAACGGGUGAGUAACACGUGAGUAACCUGCCCUUGACUUUGGGAUAACUUCAGGAAACUGGGGCUAAUACCGGAUAGGAGCUCCUGCUGCAUGGUGGGGGUUGGAAAGUUUCGGCGGUUGGGGAUGGACUCGCGGCUUAUCAGCUUGUUGGUGGGGUGGCGGCUUACCAAGGCUUUGACGGGUAGCCGGCCUGAGAGGGUGACCGGCCACAUUGGGACUGAGAUACGGCCCAGACUCCUACGGGAGGCAGCAGUGGGGAAUAUUGCACAAUGGGCGGAAGCCUGAUGCAGCAACGCCGCGUGCGGGAUGACGGCCUUCGGGUUGUAAACCGCUUUCGCCUGUGACGAAGCGUGAGUGACGGUAAUGGGUAAAGAAGCACCGGCUAACUACGUG